AAAAAAUAAAAGCUAAUUAUUUGUUUGUUUACUUAAGGAGAGUAUUUAUUUGGAUCCUGAGUCUGGAAAACAAUAUCCCAUGUGGGUUUCAAAAGAAACGCAAGAAAAAAUACAAUCAGAUAAAACCUUUUCUUUAAAACUCUUCAACUGGGCAAAAACUAUGCAUACCAACAAUUCCGGAAACGAUGAAAUUUUUUAUCUUGGUGAAGAAAGCUUCAACAUACUAGAUGUAACCAAAGAAUCACGUCAAAUUAAUAAUGAUGAUAAUAAUAAUAAUGAUAAUGAUUUCGAUAUGAGAGAAUUUAUUUCUUUCAACUCAACUAUUUCAAAAUCUACUCAAAAUUCUAAUGAAGCAGUUCAACAAAGUGAUUGUCGCUGUUCUACAAGACAAAGUAAAGAAAAAUAUAGCCGGAAAUAUAAUGGUAGUUUAGCAUUAAUCAGGAGUUAUGGAUUUCACUAUGAAGAAAAAAAUCAUCCAAUGAAGAAAAAAUUUUUUUGGAAUAACAUCGCGAACGAUCUAAUAAGUCAAAAAUACAACGUUAAUGAAAAACUCUGUCAGACUAGAUGAAAUAGUCUUUAUCAGUUACAAACAAUGUAAAGACAGAACUGGACGUCCUCCUGAGCAGUUAACUUUUUAUGAAGAAAUACAUGAAAUUUUGGGAAGCAGGCCAACAAAUUCAUCGCCGCACUCUAUAAGCUCAUUGCCCAAGAAAUUACAAGACGAUGAUAAGGAAAAUAAAACUGAUAAUAAUCAAAUCAAAUCAAAAAGUAAAAAAAAAAAUCUAUUGAAGAUGACAAUGAAAGAAUGCAGUAUAAAAAACUCAAGCUUGAAUUAGAGAGAGAAAAGUUGCAAAUUCAAAAGAAAAAGUGUCAAUUAAUUAAAAAAUAUCUCCAAUUAAAAAAAGGUUCCUAAUAAAGAAAAACCGAGUUACGA
rnacentral:misc_RNA from 1 species